CCUACGGGCGGCAGCAGUGAGGAAUAUUGGUCAAUGGGCUUACGCCUGAACCAGCCAAGUCGCGUGAGGGAAGACUGCCCUAUGGGUUGUAAACCUCUUUUGUCAGGGAGCAACGCCGGCUACGUGUAGCCGGACUGAGAGUACCUGAAGAAAAAGCAUCGGCUAACUCCGUGCCAGCAGCCGCGGUAAUACGGAGGAUGCGAGCGUUAUCCGGAUUUAUUGGGUUUAAAGGGUGCGUAGGCGGAAUGCCAAGUCAGCGGUAAAAUCGCGGGGCUCAACCUCGCUCCGCCGUUGAAACUGGCGUUCUUGAGUGCACACAGGGAUGCCGGAAUUCAUGGUGUAGCGGUGAAAUGCUUAGAUAUCAUGAAGAACUCCGAUCGCGAAGGCAAGUGUCCGGGGUGCAACUGACGCUGAGGCUCGAAAGUGCGGGUAUCAAACAGGAUUAGAUACCCUAGUAGUC
rnacentral:rRNA from 1 species